rnacentral:rRNA from 1 species
UACGUAGGGGGCUAGCGUUGUCCGGAAUCAUUGGGCGUAAAGCGCGUGUCGGCGGUCCGGUAAGUCCGCUGUGAAAGUCGGGGGCUCAACCCUCGGAUGCCGGUGGAUACUGUCGGGCUUGAGUACGGAAGAGGCGAGUGGAAUUCCUGGUGUAGCGGUGAAAUGCGCAGAUAUCAGGAGGAACACCAGUGGCGAAGGCGGCACUCUGGGCCGGUACUGACGCUGAGGAGCGAAAGCGUGGGGAGCGAACAGG